rnacentral:lncRNA from 1 species
UAGCUCAUAGGGUCAUUUGAUACAAUUAUCCAGCAUCAGAACUACAGCAGUAGUAGCAAAGGCCAUCUUGACUAAAUACUUUGCUAUUUAAAACCUGUCCCUACCUUCUGGCACCCUGUUAAUUUCUCCAGCACAGCCAGUUCCUUUGUGCUGUCUGCAUAGCAGACCUUCAAGUGAAAUUACUGAGCUCUUUGUCUGUAUGUGCUCUCGUUGCCAUCCAUCCACACUCAUUCAGCUGCCUCUGUAUAUUGUAGACUAGAACAUGAAUCCAUGGAAAAAGAGUCUUCUGAACCCAUCUGCCUACUAUAAGGAGAAAUCCUGAAGUUCAAGAUAAGAUAAACACAGCCUUGUAAAAAAAAAAAAAAAUUUUUUUUUUCUGAUUCAUUUGCAUAUGUGCAUGUGCCCCCUUUAAAUGAAACACUGCUCUAGGGUAGGGCCAGUGCCUACAUCUUUGAACCUUUUACAAUAAAUAUUGUCCAAAAAUAUAAAAGACCA